CACAUGCAUGGGAGAACGCCCAACAAUUGUUUAAUCAACGAUUGUCCCAACCAUGGUUAUGCUUAACAUCGCUUUCUAUUAUUAAUUGAUUCUCUCUCUCUCUCUCUCUCUCUCUCUCUCUCUCUCUCUCUCUCUCGUGCAUCAGAGCCCAACCAUGGCAGAAUGCUUUUUCGAAAAUGCAUAUACAAAUCAUUGCUCCCCAGAUUCAAUUUCAGAUAUGUUCUUUUGAUUAAGGUUAUACCAAAAUAAGGCCAUUAUGGCGUCUGCUGCAACAGACCUCUUCCUUGGCAAAUUUGUUGCCAUUCUAGAGAGUGAAGCAGCCUCCAUAGCGGGUGUUCGUGAUCAAGUUGAUGAAAUUAAGCAGGAGCUUGUAUUCAUGAAAUCCUUCUUAGAGGAUGCUGACGGCGGAGAGCAGGCACACACACAAGUAGAGAAAGCGUGGGUCGCAAGCGUUCGAGACUUGGCCAAUGAUGUUGAAAACACCAUUGAUGAGUUCAUGUAUCGCGUGUACGAGCAACGAAAUGGUGGUCGAUUUUCCAGGUGGUUCCACAAAACCAUUCACUUUCCAAAGCACCUUUGGUAUAAGCGUCGAAUAGCCAACAAGUUACAGAAAAUCGCGGUGGCGAUUAGAGCUAUUCCGGAGAGAAAUCAGAGAUAUCAUGGUGCUGCAGCUGUAGAAGUAAAAAGUACUUCUGAGGAUAUUCGAAGAUGGGUGCAGAACCAAGCGGAGUCUUCUCUUUAUCAGAAGGAGGAUGAACUUGUCGGGAUUGAAGGCGAUAAGAACAUGUUACUGGGAUGGCUGAUGGAUGAAGCGAAGCACCAAAUUGCUGUGUCCGUGGUCGGGAUGGGAGGAUCAGGGAAGACAACUCUAGUUGCAAGAACCUUCAAAGAUGACAUUGUAAAGAGAGAUUUCGAAUGCUAUGCAUGGAUUACUGUUUCCCAGUCUUAUGUGAUUGAAGACUUACUUAGAAGAUUGAUCAAAGAAUUCCACAAAGGAAAGAGGGAAGAGGUCCCUGCAGACAUAAAUGCCAUGAGUUAUAACGAAUUGCUGGAGAUUUUGGUGAACUACUUGGAGACUAAAAGGUACCUAAUUGUAUUGGAUGACGUGUGGGAUGUCCACCUUUGGGACAAAAUAAGGUUUUCAUUUCCAGAUAAACAACUUGGAAGUCGAGUCAUGCUUACAACUCGAAGAGAAGACAUAGCAUCCUCUUCUUUUGGAGUUGAAAGCCAUGUUCACAAGAUUCAACCGUUGGAAAGGGGUGAUGCGUGGGAGCUUUUCAGCAUGAAAGCAUUCUCAAGUUAUCAGAACAAAUCUUGUUCACCUGAACUUUUGCCUUUAGCUCGGGAACUUGUGGAAAAGUGUGAAGGCCUACCACUAGCGAUCGUAGCCUUAAGUGGUCUCAUGUCUUCUAAGAAGUCACUUACAGAGUGGAGCACAGUCUACAAUAGCUUAAAUUGGCAUCUAACAAAUAAUUCUUUGUUAGAACCUAUGAAGAUGCGCAUCUUGUUGUUUAGUUUUAAUGAUUUGCCAUACCGAUUGAAGCAAUGCUUUCUAUCUUGUUCACUUUUCCCUGAAGAUCAUGUGAUCGUAAAUAAUAGGCUCAUCACAUUGUGGAUCGCUGAAGGAUUUGUUGAACAUGUCGAAGGGCUCACGCCAGAAGAAGUUGCAAGGGGCUAUCUUAUGGAACUCAUUUUUCGUAACAUGCUACAGCAAAGGUUUCUAGGAUCCCUCCCAGCAUGUAAGAUGCACGAUCUUUUGCGGGAGAUUGCUCUGUCUAUAGCAAAAGAAGAAAAGUUUUGCGUUGUACAUGAUGGGGGUGAAACAGUAGAAGAAACUGGAGCACUCCGUUUGUCAAUUCAAACAACUAAUCGAGAAAUUGGAUCAUGCACAGGUAUAUCACGGCUUCGUUCAUUUCUCGUCUUUGCCACUGGCGUAUCCUCAUUCUCUUUCUCAAAUAAACUACCUUUUGACCUUAAAUUGUUGAAGGUUCUAGAUUUGGAGGAUGUCCCACUUGAUUAUCUGCCAGACAAUCUAACGUCCUUAUUUAAUUUAAAAUAUUUAAAUUUGAGGGGAACUCCAAUUACUGAGCUUCCAGAAUCCAUUGGACAGCUCCGCAACCUUCAGACCUUGAACAUCACGCUGACAAAAAUUGUGGCACUUCCAAGAGGGAUUUCCAAGUUGCUGAACUUACGCCAUUUACUUGUGGGCCGGUUCUUUUCCAGAAAGAUAAUUGGGGUAAGAAUACCAUCAAGUAUUAGUAAGAUGAAGAAAUUGCAACGUUUGGCAUUACAAAUGUGAAAGAAAGAGACGAGGAGGACCUAUGUGCCUCAAUUCAAGAGAUGAAGGUCCUUUCCUGCUUGCAUUUAUCUGUAGCAGAUGGAGAGGAAUUUCUUCGAGUUGACGCAUUGUCUUCACCGCCUCCCUACCUUGACAGACUUGAAUUGAGCGGAAAACUGGAAAAGGUACCACAUUGGUUUUGUUCACUCCACUCUCUCGCAUAUUUGAAUCUGUCUGGGUCCAGACUUGAAGAAGAUUUACUACCUCAUAUUGAAGCAUUGCCCUCUCUACGUUCUCUUUGGCUUGAUAAUGCCUCUGUUAGAAAGGAGUUAUGUUUCAACAGAGGCUUUGUGAAGCUUCGGCAUUUGUGGGUUUGGGAUCUCGCAUUAUUAAAUAUGAUAACUAUCGAAAAAGGGGCGAUGCCAAAUCUCGAGUUCAUAAGAAUUCAUGAUUGCUUGACAUUAGAAACAUUGCCACAGGGUAUUGAGGACCUUACUAAUCUACAAGGAUACAGAUUUGAUAAUGCUUCAGAGAAGUUUAAAGAGUCCAUAAAAGAAGGAGGUGUGGAUCAUCCAAGGAUGCUACUCGUCGACGAGAGAUGUAAGAAAUAUGCAAACAAGUCCUGGGAUUGAAGAUUUUACCCAUGAGUUUGGGGGUGGGAACUUGUUCGCCUUGUUUUGACCCCAAGAGUGAUCUAGAUUGGCUUCUUAUUUGCUCUUUUGAAAAUCAAACAAUACCCAAGUUGAUGUUCAUAAAAUUGCAGUUGAUGUUUUUGUGUGCGUUUUAAUUUGCAUGUAAUAAAAUUCGAGUUUGCAUCUGUCACUUCAGCAAUUGGCAGAUGUAUGUGGAUGAUUAGCUUUUAAGAUUUGGACCAUGGAUUCUUUUAUAUUCGGUGUGUUUGUACUUUCUUCUAUGUUAAUUGUAUUUGUACUUUCAGGUUUUUUUCUAUGGGGUCAGAUUUUGUACUUUCAGAUUGGCUAAAUAAAUAAUACAGAAUCUUAAUUGCUUUCCA